UCUGAUCAUCCUCCUGUUGGGCUAUAGGGAAGGUGAGAGAGAGAGACAGAGAGAGGUGAAACAACACAGACAAUCUGAUCAUCCUCCUGUUGGGCUAUAGGGAAGGUGAGAGAGAGAGACAGAGAGAGGUGAAACAACACAGACAAUCUGAUCAUCCUCCUGUUGGGCUAUAGGGAAGGUGAGAGAGAGAGACAGAGAGAGGUGAAACAACACAGACAAUCUGAUCAUCCUCCUGUUGGGCUAUAGGGAAGGUGAGAGAGAGAGACAGAGAGAGGUGAAACAACACAGACAAUCUGAUCAUCCUCCUGUUGGGCUAUAGGGAGGGAGCGAGAGAGACAGAGAGAGAGGUGAAACAACACAGACAAUCUGAUCGUCCUUCUGUUGGGUAGACACACAGGCACAGACAUAUGGAGGUCAGGACACAGAGCUCCCCUGAAAAAUGUAGUAUUUCACUGGAAUAACCUCCAUUCUGCUCUAUCUUAACAUUAACCCUCUAGAGAGUGGAACCGAUCAUGGGUCCUAACUAAU